ACCCCGAAUUGAUACGUUGAUUACUUCAUGAUAAUUCAACGUAGUCAAGGAGUGUUCAUGAAUGACCACAAAGUUGUUUGAUGCGUAUUAUGUUUCUAUCGUAUAUUAUCCACCCGCCGCAACGUGCGAGCAUUCCCACUAGUUUAUAUAAUCAAUUAGGUUUGAUGAUUGAAAUCAACUCAAGAAUUGCAGAAAUCGCCCUCUGGUUAUUCUUUUAUUCACUCGCAUCGGUCCAAUUGAAGAGGUAACAUCGGCGAGGGAAGUAGGGUUAAAACCCUGGCAACGACGAUGAUUUCGUAGGUACUUCUUCUCUCGGUUUAAUGUUCUUGAAUCAUGUUUCUGUUAUUGAUAUUGAAUCGAAUUUAUUGGAUAUAAACUCUGAUUAUAAUAUCAUGUUUGUGGCUGUGGUGCAAUUGAAGUCAUGGUUUCAACUUUUCUUUAUUGGUUUCUUGUUGUUUUGCAAUGAAAUUCCUUUUGAUAUAAUAUGGUUAUUGUUGUUUAGAUCUUUCAAUUACGAGCUAUCUGUUUUGUUAUGUAUUAGUGUUGAUCAAUCUGAUGCAGGAAGAACACACACCGUCUUCAAUUCAGGCUGAAGUCAAAAACUCAAGUACUGAUUGGGGAUCCUAAGGAUAAAAUAUGUGAAGCUGUUGAGGAAUUGCAUGCUGAUUUGCUUGUAAUGGAAUGCCGCUCUUUUGGUCCUAUUAAGAGGAUGUUACUGUCAUGAUAGUUAAAAGCACUGCUUAAAAGAACCUUAGACUCCUUCUAGAAGCUUGAGGUAAGCUUUAUGACCUUUCUUAAAAUGCUUUUCUAGUAAUCUUUUCAGAGGCAACGUUUGUUUUAUAAGUAUUUUAGCACCGUGCUCCGAGUCAUUAGCUUCUUAGACAUUCAAAUGUGCAAAGUGAGCAUUCGAUGUGGGUGAUUUAUUUUUGUUACCAAUAGGUCAAAUAAAAAGAGCUAAAAAGGAACCGGUCAAAUGUGUUGAAGUGCCAAAUGGGUCAAACGGGUUGUAAGAAAAUUAAACAAAAUAGAUAAUCAUAAGAAAAUUAAACACACCUCUAAUAUAUAAGAACAUUAAAAUACAUUACCACAACUUGAGUAGCGUUAUCAUCAACAAUGCUUCCAUCUUUACGAGUGCGAGUUUCUAUAUACAUUUCUCCUCGUGUUGGAUGUAUACCAUUAUUCUUCGUCGCCUAUUAUUUAUGUUUGAUGGUUAGUAAGGGAAAUAAAAACCAGAAUAUUCAAAAAUUAAAAAAAAAAUCUAGAAUAAUACCAUUUCAUGAGCACGUCUAGCAAACGACUUUGUCCCACUAACAUGAGGCUCCUUCAUCUUUAAGCGGCUCAUUCUUUUAACACCGCAUGUACUCUACAGUAAAUGGUAAAGUUAUACAUGAUAAGACUUCUUUAAUCUAAUUCCAUAAUUAUAUAUAUUUCAUAAGAAAUCAACAUUACAUCAUUGUUACCUGAAAUUAUGGAGUGAACCAACGAGUAACAAGUUCUUUAAAUUGAGUUGGAUUCACUCGGUCGUCAUUUUUAACUUGUUGUGCCACAAUUUAUCAACAAUAAGGCUUGGAUCAUAUGCACAUACCUUUAACGAACCUUUCCAUUCUCUCCAUUUUCUUCCGAUGCUAUGAAAGAUCCAAUUUUUAAUCUCAUUUGUUUCAUUUGGAUGAAUAACAAAUUUAGACUACAAACAAAAAUUAUAUGUAAAUUAGAAUAUACCUCUUAGCUUAACUACUAAUACAUUUUGAAACUUGAUAAAGACAUAUACCUUAAUGAGUGAAUACCUGUCCUUUUUUUGUAUUGGAACUUUCCUCCGGUCAAAAUAUUCUAUGGAUACAUGAUCAUCCAUCCUCGCGAGCGUCCCAAGAAAUUGAGCAAAAGUUCAUUAGCUUCAACCCCAACAGGCUUUCCAAACUCGUUGAAUGUGACAGCUAUUCUUUUUGUACUAUCCAUCUUCCAAAUUUCAGCUUUUGUUGUAUAACUCUAACCCUUUUAGGAGCACCUAACAAAUUCGAAAAAAACAAAACAGGUACAAAAAACGUUCUAUUAACAGUUUACAAGUUUGAAUAUAUAUGCUAUUGUUUUGUGUCUAAAACAUCAUUACAAAUUAUUUAUAAUUUUUACCUUGUAUUUCACUAGCUUGAUGACCUUGAGUUUCAAAAACUUGGUGGUCUUCAACAUGGUCUCGUCAACAUGGUCUUCAACAUGCUCAGUUGAGAUGGUAGAAGUGAUAUGUAGCCUCUUACGCCUACCUAUACUAUUACCUUUUAUAUUAGAACUUGUUGCCUUUUGUUUUUCAGGGCCUUGCAAUUGUUCAUGAAUACUGUAUUCAUCAUUAGAAUAGUCAUGAUCUGCUCUGUAUCUCAUGUUGAUCAACAUCAUCUACUUCUAUAUCCCUUCCUUAAAAAUAAUAGAGUAAAUUAAUAUAAAAGAUACUAUUAAUUAAAAUAACUUUAUGAACAACAAAAUGAUACCUUGAAAUAUCUCAUCAUCCUCAUCAACAUAAACCAACUUUUUCUUUGCUCCUCCUUUAUCACCUUUGAUUAUUUCACUCAUGGUAACUGUUAGUUGUUUAUUCGGUUUUGU